rnacentral:rRNA from 1 species
UUGCACUAAAUGAAACUAGAUACAAGCCAGUAAAAGACGGGNGAGUAACACGAGGGUAANCUGCCCACCUUAAAAAAUAAGACCUGGAAACAGAUGCUAAUACCGGAUAACAACACUAGACGCAUGUCUAGAGUUUGAAAGAUGCUUCUGCUAUCACUCUUGGAUGGACCUGCGGUGCAUUAGCUAGUUGGUAAGGUAACGGCUUACCAAGGCAAUGAUGCAUAGCCGAGUUGAGAGACUGAUCGGCCACAUUGGGACUGAGACACGGCCCAAACUCCUACGGGAGGCAGCAGUAGGGAAUCUUCCACAAUGGACGAAAGUCUGAUGGAGCAACGCCGCGUGAGUGAAGAAGGGUUUCGGCUCGUAAAGCUCUGUUGGUAGUGAAGAAAGAUAGAGGUAGUAACUGGCCUUUAUUUGACGGUAAUUACUUAGAAAGUCACGGCUAACUACGUGCCAGCAGCCGCGGUAAUACGUAGGUGGCAAGCGUUGUCCGGAUUUAUUGGGCGUAAAGCGAGUGCAGGCGGUUCAAUAAGUCUGAUGUGAAAGCCUUCGGCUCAACCGGAGAAUUGCAUCAGAAACUGUUGAACUUGAGUGCAGAAGAGGAGAGUGGAACUCCAUGUGUAGCGGUGGAAUGCGUAAAUAUAUGGAAGAACACCAGUGGCGAAGGCGGCUCUCUGGUCUGCAACUGACGCUGAGGCUCGAAAGCAUGGGUAGCGAACAGGAUUAGAUACCCUGGUAGUCCAUGCCGAA